AUGGAAGUAAAAGUUGUCCCCGGACCUCCGCGCCGCGCCCGUCAUCAGCUCUGCCUUGACGACGGGGCCAUUGUCAGCAGGUCUCAGCUCCUCGAGGACAAAAUUGGAAAGAAUAUAAAUUGCAGAGCCGCAAAAGAGGCGGAGGCGGUGCGUGCGCGCGCGCGCGUGUCCCGGGAGGUGGCGUCUAUUAGCAUCAAUACGGCGGAGCCAGGGGACCCAGCCGGAGCCUGCAAACUUCGAGCCAAACUCCAGGAUCGCGCCCCCCCCCCCCCCUCCUCCUCCUCCCCUCCGUGCCUGACCCCUGCCGCGGGAAAGGCGUCCCCGGGGAAGCCCGGGGGAGCCUGGGGGCUCCGAGAGAGUGGCCUCGGAUUCGCUGCUCCGCCUCCCCCUCCCGACGAUGGGCUUUGCCCUGGAGCGCUUCGCCGAAGCGGCGGACCCGGACUGCAAGUGCAAACUGUGCGGCCAGGUGCCGGAGGAGCCGCUGUGCACGCCGUGCGGGCACGUCUUCUGCGCCGGCUGCCUGCUGCCCUGGGUGGCGCGGCGGCGCCGGGGCCCGCUGCAGCGCCAGCCCCCCGCGCCGGGCGAGCUGCACCGGGCGCCGCCUGCGCGCAGCCUCCUGCAGCAGCCGCGCGUCCAGGGCGGCGGCCGCUCGGCCCGGCUGCACGAGCUGGCGGCGCACGUCGAGCGCGGGGCCCGGCGCCGCCCGCGGGGCUGCGUCUCGGGGCCCGGCGGCCGCGGCGGCGGGGACCUGCCCGCGCGGGGGGGCUGCGGCGCGGCGCCGGGGCCGGGGCCGGGGCCGGGGCCCGGCCGGGGCGGGGGCGCGCGCGGGGGGCCGCCGGGCGGGAGCGGGAGCGGCAGCGGCAGCGGCAGCGGGCGGGGGCCCGGGGCGCGAGUCCUGGCCUGGAGGCGGCGCGAGAGGGCUCUGCGGGCGCAGCUCCGGGCGCUGCAGGGCGAGGUGCAGCUCGCGGCCCGCGGGUACCGGGAGAAGUUCGCGCAGUACAUGGCUCACGUCCGCAACUUCGCCGGGGAGCUGGGCGGCGGCCGCGGCCCGGAUGGAGAACAUAAGCCAUUCACCAUUGUGUUAGAAAGAGAAAAUGACACAUUGGGAUUCAAUAUUAUAGGAGGUCGACCAAAUCAGGUAACCUACUUUGUUCAUGCAUAACUCACUCUUUGCUUGUAAAAUAAUAGAAGACAGCUUUCAUUUGUAGAUUUUAAUAAGGAAAACAAGUGAUUUAAUCUUUAAUAGCAUGCUUAUGAUCAAAUAUCAGAUUCCUUAAUGCAGAUUCUCAGUACAUAAUUACAUUUUUUUGAAAAAAAAAAAAAAAACCAACAAAAAAACCCAACAGCUAACAAAUUCGUCCCUCUUUCCUACUUUAGAAAAAAAGGAGAGUUUGUUUCACAUUUUAUUUACAUUGUAUAGCCCCAUUGGUAAACUUCUUAAACCUAUUUCACAAUAAUAUGAAUAGGCAAUUUCUACUUGAUAAUAUUAGAUAACUAUAUUGCCUGAUUAUACCCUCUAAUUAUUAAAAUCAGUUUGUUAGUGUUUAGGUGCUAACACAGACCAGGCAGUUUAUAAUGCACGUUGAUGGAAUGAACAGUUAAAAUAAAUUGAAAUAAGGAAUAAUUGUUUUCACAAUUAUAUAAGAAAUACCAUGUUAAAGAUAAUUGAUUUGCAAUAUUGUUGGCUCCCCAAAUCAAAUCCUUAAUUUAAUUGAAUGAAUAAUAUUUUGUUAAUUGAUGCCAAUUGUUUUCAAAAUACAUGAGUUGUAAACUUAAGCCAGUUACUGUAGUUGCAGAGUUCUUUUAUAUCCUUCAAAUACUACAUCAAUUUAAUUUUCAACAUAACUAGAACAAAGUGGUAAAGUUAAAAUAAAAAAGAAGCAUGUUCUUUAAUUUUCUUAAUAAACUGCCGUGAAAUUCUUGCAUCUUGCAUUGCAGAUGUUGUCCAAGGAAACUGUCUUAGAGUUGUUGGCCAUAUGCUGUGUUUAGGUCAGGAUGGCAAUGACAUAUUUCCCCCUUACUGUUUAGUAUUUUGAAAACCUAGCAACUAAUGACUGCUGUGCUUCUGUUUCUAGAACAGUCUCUAUUUAUUAUGAAAAGAUAGAAGUCUUCUCAUCGUAUCUUUUUUGUUUUCUUUUCCCCUAAGGAAUAUUUUUAUAAAAUGCUACUCAGGUGUUUGACAUUUAGAGCACACUGGACAUUUUUAAGAGGCUCUUCAGAUUCAUGUUAACGAAGGUUAAUUAAGGAGAAAUAAUUGUAUUUAAAC
rnacentral:lncRNA from 1 species